UUUGAGCAGACGGAACAGAUGAUCAGUUGGAAACCAUCAGUCAAGGCUGGCAGCUACUACAAAGAAGUUCAUUUGCUUUUGCUUUCCCAAAACGCGCUUUUUUUUAUUCCGCACCAGUCACCACCCCACAAACAUCUAUUUAUACAAUCUUGUAUCCCUUAUUCCCCUCAUCAACUUAAUCACACACACUUUUUCACUUUACAAAAAAAAUCUAUAGCAACUUCAUCAUAACACAAUGAGUCACAACAUCAAUCAACAACAACAAUCUCCAGUGAUUGCAUAUCCAGCAAUGGUUGAGAACAAGAACCAAGUUGCUCCACCACCACCAAUGGGUUAUCCCACAAAAGAUGAACCUCAACAAACUAUUCCAGUCAAAACAACUAGUAGGGGUGAUGGUUUUUGGGAAGGAUGUUGUGCUGGAUUAUGUUGCUGUUGUGCCCUGGAUUGUUGCCUCUGAUUGAUUAUCAUACAAUUUGGAUUUAUAGAUAUUUGCUAGUCCUCAUUGUUUUUCACUAUUAUAUUUUUCCUGCUUUCCUUCUAUUAAUUUUGUACCUUUACCUAAUAAGAAUCUUUGUUUCCUAUGGAAUAGUAAAGACUCAUUACCUAUUUGUACUAA